GUUCCUGUAGCGCAAUGGAUAGCGCGUUGGACUUCUAAUCGAAAGGUCAUGGGUUCAAUUCCCACCUGGGAUA
rnacentral:tRNA from 1 species